UUUUCUAUAUAUAUUUAGAUGGUUGUUAUAAAUAGUUGUUGAUUGUAUUCAUAUUUCAUCGUAAUACUUUUAGUUUAUCAAGGAUGAAUAUCAAACCUUUUAUUGUCCUAUUAUUUCUUUGUGCACUAGUUCUUAUAAAUGUUGUCGCAAUUGAACCAUUCAAAGACGAGAAUCAAAUUGGUGUAAUAGAAGAAUCCAAAACAAGAAUUGAGAUAGAUUGGUUUUAUGGCAUUUUUUGUGGACCACAUGGGUACAUUUGGGGAUGGGGUAAAGAAUGGAAAAAGGAUAUAGAAGGUGGAAAAGGAGAACGGGCACGAGAAGAAUAUGAACACAAUGGAGGUGAAAAAAAUGAAGGAAUUGAAAGAGACCAAAAAAGUGAAAGAGACGCUGAAAAUGAAAACAAAGGUUGGUUAAGUUACUUUACUUUUUGUAAAGGAUGGGAGGGACGAUACUAGGUAAGAGCAAUUAGGGGCUCUGGCUGCACUCCAUAACAAUGAAAACCACCUACCAUUUUUAAUAAGAAAAUCAUUAGCCCAUGUAAAUGUGUAUAUAAUACAUAAUCGUUACGUGCGUUACUUAUCUACUAUCUACUAUAUAUAUUAAAGUAAGGUUAUUCUUAUUACAACAU